AACGGCCGUACCAUGCUGAAUAUACCGGUUCUCGUUAGAUCACCGAAGUUAUCAUCAUUGGGCGCGGUCAGUACUUGGGUGGGUGACCACCUGGGAACACUGCGUGCCGUU